rnacentral:misc_RNA from 1 species
UCUGCAACAAGUUUAAUUUGGAGGUAAAAUGGCAACAAUCGAUGUUCCCCAAAAGGGUGGGUUUAGUUUUGAUUUGUGUAGAAGAAAUGAGAUGUUGGUCAGCAAAGGACUUCGUUCUCCCUCUUUUCUCAAGACUGGUACUACCAUCGUCGGCUUAAUUUUUAAGGAUGGUGUUAUCCUUGGAGCAGACACACGGGCAACUGAAGGACCUAUUGUCGCGGAUAAAAACUGUGAGAAAAUUCAUUACAUGGCUCCUAAUAUAUAUUGCUGUGGAGCUGGGACAGCUGCUGAUACAGAGGCUGUGACUGACAUGGUCAGUUCCCAGUUAAAGCUUCACAGGUAUCACACUGGUCGUGAAUCCAGGGUUGUGACAUCUCUUACUCUUUUGAAGUCCCACCUUUUCAGCUACCAAGGCCACGUCUCUGCUGCUUUGGUCCUUGGUGGUGUUGAUGUCACAGGGCCACAUCUGCAUACUAUUUAUCCACAUGGAUCAACUGACACUCUACCAUAUGCUACAAUGGGCUCUGGUUCCCUCGCGGCAAUGGCUAUGUUUGAGUCGAAAUACCGGGAGGGAAUGAGCAAAGAUGAAGGUAUAAAGCUAGUAGCAGACGCCAUUUUGUCUGGAGUGUUCAAUGACCUUGGUAGUGGCAGCAAUGUCGAUAUCUGUGUGAUAACAAAGGGAAACACGGAGUACUUACGAAAUCAUUUAUCGCCCAAUCCCCGCACCUAUCCACAAAAGGGUUACUCGUUCUCUAAAAAGACUGAGGUUCUCCUUACAAAGAUUACACCACUGAGAGAAAUUGUGCAAGUGAUUGAAGGUGGAGACGCCAUGGAAGAAUGACUUUUACUGCAAUGAUAGAAUCCAUGUGGAUUUCCUUUAAACAUUAUAUUGUCAAACAUUUCCAUGAGUAUUUUAGUGUUGAAGUUUAAAUUGCAAGUCUUAAGUGAACUAUUCUAUGUUAUCAGAUGUAGCUUCCAAAGAAAUUCCUCGCUAGAAAUUGAAUGAUUGGUUUGAUUUGAAGAAAG